rnacentral:rRNA from 1 species
UACGGAGGGUGCGAGCGUUAUUCGGAAUCACUGGGCGUAAAGGGCGCGUAGGCGGCCUGGUAAGUCAGGGGUGAAAUCCCACGGCUCAACCGUGGAAUUGCCUUUGAAACUGCUGGGCUUGGAUCCUGGAGAGGGUGGCGGAAUUCCUGGUGUAGGAGUGAAAUCCGUAGAUAUCAGGAGGAACACCGGUGGGGAAGCCGGCCAGCUGGACGGUUCCUGACGCUGAGGUGCGAAAGCGUGGGGAGCAAACAGG